UUACAAUUUUAAGAUGAGAAAUGAAACCACCAUUGGGAAUUAUGGACUCUUUCAUUUAAGAAAUGUGAAGUGAUUCAUCGUGGCCACCAAGCCUUUUGCUGGUCUCACUGCUGAGCCAGGCCUAUGCUAUUUAGAUAUUGUAAGAGUGAUUUGAAAUUAUCUUGAUCUAGUACAAAAUGGAAACUUUUGACAAGACCUAAAUAUUUAUAA
rnacentral:lncRNA from 1 species